rnacentral:rRNA from 1 species
AUUGAACGCUGGCGGAAGGCCUAACACAUGCAAGUCGAACGAGUGGCGGACGGGUGAGUAAUGUCUGGGAAACUGCCUGAUGGAGGGGGAUAACUACUGGAAACGGUAGCUAAUACCGCAUACAAUCAGAUGUGCCCAGAUGGGAUGUGCUGGUUGGUGGGGAAACGGCUCACAAAGGCGACGAUCCCUAGAUGGUCUGAGAGGAUGACCAGCCACACUGGAACUGAGACACGGUCCAGCCUCCUACGGUAGGCAGCAGUGGGGAAUAUUGCACAAUGGGCGCAAGCCUGAUGCAGCCAUGCCGCGUGUAUGAAGAAGUCCUUCGGUUUGUAAAGUACUUUCAGCGGGGAGGCGUUACCCGCAGAAGAAGCACCGGCUAACUCCGUGCCAGCAGCCGCGGUAAUAC